rnacentral:rRNA from 1 species
GGAUUAGAUACCCUGGUAGUCCACGCCGUAAACGAUGAGUGCUAGAUAUUAGAAUUUUAAAUUUUAGUGUCACAGCUAACGCAUUAAGCACUCCGCCUGGGGAGUACGGUCGCAAGAUUAAAACUCAAAGGAAUUGACGGGGGCCCGCACAAGCGGUGGAGUAUGCGGUUUAAUUCGAUGCUACGCGAAAAACCUUACCAACCCUUGACAUGUUGGUCGCGAGUUCCAGAGAUGGUUCUCUUCAGUUCGGCUGGACCAAACACAGGUGUUGCAUGGCUGUCGUCAGCUCGUGCUG